CUUAACUGGGUGUGGAUGGAGAGCUCGGAUGAUUGAUGCUUACAGGUUCUCAGACGAAAACAAGCUGACUGAGCAUGCCCCAACCAGAGGAACCUCCCCGUGAAGUUCAGCAAAACAAAAACGGAACAAGUAAAUCAAUAACAGACUGUGGGCUAAAGAUCACGGAUGUUACCAGCCAGGUUUCAGAUUUAAAGGGGUUGCGCUUGUAUGGUGAAGUACUUCAUGCUUGAAUCCGUAAAACUUUUGACGUUAAACUCACUGCUAAUUACCCCAGAAAACUACUGAGGAGGAAAAGUACGUCAGGCGGCUUGAUUCGCUUCAUGUGCAUCUGAGCGAGCCACUGAUGAAAUCCAUCAAACAAUUGAAAUUUUAAACAGUUUGUCUCCAAGAAAUUAAUUAUCGUGUAUGAGACUCGACGGGUAUCAGGGAGAUCUAAAUGUUUUACCCUUC